UGAUCAACCGCUGUCUGAUCGUGGCUUCUGAGGACGAAUGUUCCUCUCAGCUGGAAUUACACCAAGGACUUCAACAUGGUCUAUACAGAGGCUAUGGUUUAUACCUUUCAAAAGAACAUGGAUUUGAUUUACCCCUUCAUGUUUUCACUUGAUUAUGAACCCCUGGAUAUGUUACAUGCCUUUCUCCAAGUUAAAUUAAAAUCAGCUGUCUGUGGGGACGAAUGCAGUGAGUAACAACUGUUUCUGUACCAGCCUCGAAAAUUAGUAGUUAGAUUGACACUUGUACCAGUUGUCAAACUUACCCGGCCCCUACACCCCCUC